rnacentral:lncRNA from 1 species
UCCAUUUUGCAUGCAUAACUGUCUUUUUUUUUUACUUGUGAGUAAUGAAAAUUAGAUGUCAUUUUAAUGCAGUAAAGUUGUAGAUUGAAAUUUACACAGAAUUACAGGUUAUUAAAGUCUGCAUACAUUCCAAUAGAAUACUUGUCAAUUGCACUGAAAUUCUUGUUUCCUUAUACCCACGAAAUCCACAAAACUUGGUAUCCAACAAAUGAUAAUGAAUCCACAGC